rnacentral:rRNA from 1 species
CCUACGGGUGGCAGCAGUGAGGAAUAUUGGUCAAUGGACGAGAGUCUGAACCAGCCAAGUAGCGUGAAGGAUGACUGCCCUAUGGGUUGUAAACUUCUUUUAUAUGGGAAUAAAAUGUUCCACGUGUGGGAUUUUGUAUGUACCAUAUGAAUAAGGAUCGGCUAACUCCGUGCCAGCAGCCGCGGUAAUACGGAGGAUCCGAGCGUUAUCCGGAUUUAUUGGGUUUAAAGGGAGCGUAGGUGGUUUGUUAAGUCAGUUGUGAAAGUUUGCGGCUCAACCGUGAAAUUGCAGUUGAAACUGGCAGUCUUGAGUACAGUAGAGGUGGGCGGAAUUCGUGGUGUAGCGGUGAAAUGCUUAGAUAUCACGAAGAACUCCGAUUGCGAAGGCAGUUCACUGGACUGCAACUGACGCUGAGGCUCGAAAGUGUGGGUAUCAAACAGGAUUAGAUACCCGAGUAGUC